UACGGGGGGGGCAAGCGUUGUUCGGAAUUACUGGGCGUAAAGGGCUCGUAGGCGGCCUACUAAGUCAGACGUGAAAUCCCUCGGCUUAACCGGGGAACUGCGUCUGAUACUGGAUGGCUAGAGUGUGGGAGAGGGAUGCGGAAUUCCAGGUGUAGCGGUGAAAUGCGUAGAUAUCUGGAGGAACACCGGUGGCGAAGGCGGCAUCCUGGACCGACACUGACGCUGAGGAGCGAAAGCCAGGGGAGCAAACGGG
rnacentral:rRNA from 1 species